CCUGAGUACGACGGAGCACGUGAAAUUCCGUCGGAAUCUGGGAGGACCAUCUCCUAAGGCUAAAUACUCUCUAGUGACCGAUAGUGAACCAGUACCGUGAGGGAAAGGUGAAAAGCACCCCGGAAGGGGAGUGAAAUAGAACCUGAAACCGUGUGCUUACAAGUAGUCAGAGCCCGUUAAUGGGUGAUGGCGUGCCUUUUGUAGAAUGAACCGGCGAGUUACGAUUUGAUGCAAGGUUAAGCAGUAAAUGUGGAGCCGUAGCGAAAGCGAGUCUGAAUAGGGCGUUUAGUAUUUGGUCGUAGACCCGAAACCAGGUGAUCUACCCUUGGUCAGGUUGAAGUUCAGGUAACACUGAAUGGAGGACCGAACCGACUUACGUUGAAAAGUGAGCGGAUGAACUGAGGGUAGCGGAGAAAUUCCAAUCGAACCUGGAGAUAGCUGGUUCUCUCCGAAAUAGCUUUAGGGCUAGCCUCAAGUGAUGAUUAUUGGAGGUAGAGCACUGUUUGGACGAGGGGCCCCUCUCGGGUUACCGAAUUCAGACAAACUCCGAAUGCCAAUUAAUUUAACUUGGGAGUCAGAACAUGGGUGAUAAGGUCCGUGUUCGAAAGGGAAACAGCCCAGACCACCAGCUAAGGUCCCAAAAUAUAUGUUAAGUGGAAAAGGAUGUGGCGUUGCCCAGACAACUAGGAUGUUGGCUUAGAAGCAGCCAUCAUUUAAAGAGUGCGUAAUAGCUCACUAGUCGAGUGACACUGCGCCGAAAAUGUACCGGGGCUAAACAUAUUACCGAAGCUGUGGAUUGUCCUUUGGACAAUGGUAGGAGAGCGUUCUAAGGGCGUUGAAGCAUGAUCGUAAGGACAUGUGGAGCGCUUAGAAGUGAGAAUGCCGGUGUGAGUAGCGAAAGACGGGUGAGAAUCCCGUCCACCGAUUGACUAAGGUUUCCAGAGGAAGGCUCGUCCGCUCUGGGUUAGUCGGGUCCUAAGCUGAGGCCGACAGGCGUAGGCGAUGGAUAACAGGUUGAUAUUCCUGUACCACCUAUAAUCGUUUUA
rnacentral:rRNA from 1 species